ensembl:lncRNA
AGUUCUUUCUGGCUGACUCCAGCCACCCUAAAGCCCUCCAUUCCUUCCCUGGCCAUGACACAGCAAAUCCUAGGGAGAGACCAAGGCUCCAACCUGACCAUCCCCACCAAAAGGAUGAGCAAGUAGGUUCCAUGCAGUAAGAUGGCCUCAUUCACCUGGGAUCUGAAUCCAAGAGCCAGGCUCCUGAUCAGUCGGUCAUGUCCAAGUCCCUACAGACCUAAGAGGUCUUGGUCGUGGCACACAGGAUUUUUGAUCUUCAUUGCCUCAUGUGGGAUCUAGUUCCCCGACCAGGGAUCAAGCCUGGACCCGCUGCAUUGGGAAUGCAGAGUCUUAGCCACGGGACCACCAGGGAAGUCCCGUGGCUUCUUAUUUUUAAUGUCCUUCCCAGACCUUUCAACCUCAUCCAGGUCUUCAUUAUUGC